rnacentral:rRNA from 1 species
UACGAAGGGGGCUAGCGUUGCUCGGAAUCACUGGGCGUAAAGGGUGCGUAGGCGGGUCUUUAAGUCGGGGGUGAAAUCCUGGAGCUCAACUCCAGAACUGCCUUCGAUACUGGCGAUCUUGAGUCCGGAAGAGGUGAGUGGAACUCCUAGUGUAGAGGUGGAAUUCGUAGAUAUUAGGAAGAACACCAGUGGCGAAGGCGGCUCACUGGUCCGGUACUGACGCUGAGGUGCGAAAGCGUGGGGAGCAAACAGG